GGUCAGGUAGCUCAGUUGGUAGAGCAAUGGACUGAAAAUCCAUGUGUCGGCGGUUCGAUCCCGCCCCUGACCA
rnacentral:tRNA from 2 species